UACGUAGGGGGCAAGCGUUGUCCGGAUUUAUUGGGCGUAAAGAGUGUGUAGGCGGCCAUACAGGUCAGCUGUGAAAACUCGAGGCUCAACCUCGAGACGUCGGUUGAAACCGUAUGGCUAGAGUCCGGAAGAGGAGAGUGGAAUUCCCGGUGUAGCGGUGAAAUGCGCAGAUAUCGGGAAGAACACCCAUGGCGAAGGCAGCUCUCUGGGACGGUACUGACGCUGAGACGCGAAAGCGUGGGGAGCGAACAGG
rnacentral:rRNA from 1 species